rnacentral:tRNA from 1 species
GGGAAAUAGGAACAAAAGUUAGUUUUUUAAAAAAAAAAAAAAAAAAAAACCUUUAAUAAUUUUUUAACCUAUUU